rnacentral:lncRNA from 1 species
UAUGAUGUGAUCUUGGGCUGAUUUAUGAAGUUCUGGACAUGAAAAAUAUUUAGAAAUAAACCCAUGAUGUUAGGUAACAUGUCCAUCCCUGGAGUUACAAGCCCAAGAAGAAUCAAAAUCAAGUGGUUUCUUUGCUGUCCAAGAAAAGUGACGAAAAUCAAAAACUAAAUUGCAUGGAAAGCUUCUUUCUCUUGCAUGCAAGGAUUGCUUCUUCCAAGAACCUUCUCUCUCCUCCAUGCAUUGUUUUGUGAUUUCCUAUGUAUUAAUUAUCUAGCUUUCUCAACAAGUUUAGUUUCUUAUAAAUAAGGUGUAAUCUCUAAUGAAAUAAACUAAGAUUUGAGUGAUUAGUUUUGGAACCUUGAGGGUGAUUCUCGGUUUUCUUUCAAUGAUGUGUAAUAUCCAUUGAUAUGUUCGAUCUGUCUUGGUGCGUCAUAUCCAAGGGAUCAAACCGAUUAAUCCUGGUGCGUCAUAUCCAGGGAAUCAUCCUCAUUGUCGUCUAGGUGCGUCAUAUCCUAUGGCAUUUAGUUGGAAUAUCGAAGGCCUUCCGCAUCCUUCGUGCGACCAUUCACUCCACAUCCCUUGUCUUUGAAGCUUUACGGUUUCAUAGCAGCAAGGAUUAUCCCCUUUACCAACUUAGAGUGUCGACUCCUCGGGAGUUUUUCAUCAUUUGGUAUCAGAGCAACACUCUGAGUUUGGUAUUCACUUCUAUUAUCCACCAUUCUCAUCUAUCCAUCGUCAACAAAAAAAAGAGUUUUAUUAUUUAUGUUCUACAAAUCUGCUGGAUCUUUUUGAAGUGUGUGUUCAAGUUUUAUUUCUUGAGAGAGCAAGAUUUGAGGACAAAUCUUUUUGAAGAGAAGGAGUAUGAUGUGAUCUUGGGCUGAUUUAUGAAGUUAUGGACAUGAAAAAUAUUUCGAAAUCAACCCAUGAUGUUAGCUAACAUGUCCAGCCCAUUUUAUGGAAUUACAAGCCCAAGAAAAAUCAAAAUCAAGUGGUUUCUUUUCUGUCCAAGAAAAGUGACGAAAAUCAGAAACUAAAUUGCAUGGAAAACUUCUCCUCCUGCAUGCAAUGAUUGCUUCUUCCAAGAACCUUCUCUUUUCUCCAUGCAAUGUUUUGAUUUCCUAUGUAUUAAUUAUAUAGCUUUCUCAACAAGUUUAGUUUCCUAUAAAUAAGUUGUAAUCUCUACUGGAACAAAAUAAGCUUUUGAGUGAUUAUUUUUGGAACUUUGAAAGUGAUUCUCACUUUUCUUUCAAUGGUGUGAUAUCCAUUGAUCUUUUCGAUCCGUCUUGGUGCGUGAUAUCCAGGGAAUCAUCCUCAUUAUCGUCUAGAUGCGUCAUAUCCUAGGGCAUUGAGUUGGAAUAUUGAAGGCCUUCUGCAUCCUUCGUGCGGCCAAUCACUCCACAUCCCUUGUCUUUGAAGCUUUACGGUUUCAUAGCAGCAAGGCUUAUCCCCUUUACCAACUUAGAGUGCCGACUCCUCGGGAGGUUUUGAUCAUUUGGUAUCAAAGAAACACUCUGAGUUUGGUAUUGACUUCUAUAUCCAUCAUUCUCAUCUAUCCAUCUUCUACAAAAAAAAAAAGAGUUUUAUACAUUUAUGUUCUACAAAUCUGCUGGAUCUUUUGGAAGUGUGCGUUGAAAUUUUCUUUCUCCACGGAGCAAGAUUUGAGGACAAAUCUUUUUGAAGAUGAGGAGUAUGAUGUGAUCUUGGGUUGAUUUAUAAAGUUCAGGACAUGGAAAAUAUUUAGAAAUCAACCCAUGAUGUUUGGUAACAUGGCCAGCCGAUUUAUGGAGUUACAAGCCCAAGAAAAAUCAAAAUCAAGUGGAUUCUUUGCUGUCCAAGAAAAGUGACGAAAAUCAGAAACUAAAUUGCAUGGAAAUGUACUCUCUCCUGCAUGCAAGGAUUGCUUCUUCCAAGAACCUUCUCUCCCCCUCCAUGCACUGUUUUGUGAUUUCCUAUGUAUUAAUUAUCUAGCUUUCUCAACAAGUUAAGUUUCCUAUAAAUAAGUUGUAAUCUCUAAUGGAAUAAAAUAAGCUUUUGAGUGAUUAUUUUUGGAACAGUGGGAGUGAUUCUCAUUUUUCUUUCAAUAGUGUGUAAUAUCCAUUGAUCUUUUCGAUCCGUCUUGGUGCGUCAUAUCCAGGGAAUCAUCCUCAUUGUCGUAUAGGUGCGUCAUAUCCUAGGGCAUUGAGUUGGAAUAUUGAAGGCCUUUUGCAUCCUUCGUGCGACUAUUCACUCCACAUCCCUUGUCUUUGAAGCUUUACGGUUUCAUAUCAACAAGGCUUAUCCCCUUUACCAACUUAGAGUGCCGACUCCUCGGGAGGUUUUCAUCAUUUGGUAUCAGAGCACACUCUGAGGUUGGUAUUGACUUAUAUAUCCAUCAUUCUCAUCUAUCAAUCUUCUACAAAAAAAAAUAAUUUUAUACAUUUAUGUUCUACAAAUCUGCUGGAUCUUUUGGAAGUGUGUGUUCAAGUUUUCUUUCUCCAUAGAGCAAGAUUUGAGGACAAAUAUUUUUGAAGAGGAAGAGUAUGAUGUGAUCUUGGGCUGAUUUAUGAAGUUAUGGACAAGGAAAAUAUUUAGAAAUCAACCCAUGAUGUUAGGUAACAUGUCCAGCCCAUUUUAUGGAGUUACAAGCCCAAGAAAAAUCAAAAUCAAGUGGUUUCUUUGCUGUCCAAGAAAAGUGACAAAAGUCAGAAACUAAAUUGUAUGGAAGGCUUCUAUCUCCUGCAUGCAAGGAUUGCUUCUUCCAAGAACCUUCUCUCUCCUCCAUGCACUAUUUUGUGAUUUCGUAUGUAUUAAUUAUCUAGCUUUCUCAACAAGUUUAGUUUCCUAUAAAUAAUUUGUAAUCUCUAAUGGAAUAAAAUAAGCUUUUGAGUGAUUAUUUUUGGAACCUUUAGAGUGAUUCUCCCUUUUCUUUCAAUGGUGUGUAAUAUCCAUUGAUAUUUUUGAUCCGUCUUGGUGCGUCAUAUCCUAGGACAUUGAGUUGAAAUAUUGAAGGCCUUUUGCAUCCUUCGUGCGACCAUUCACUUCACAUCCCUUGCCUUUGAAGCUUUACGGUUUCAUAGCAGCAAGGCUUAUCCCCUUUACCAACUUAGAGUGCCGACUCCUCAGGAGGUUUUGGUAAUUUGGUAUCAAAGCAACACUUUGAGUUUGGUAUUCACUUCUAUAUCCAUCAUUCUCAUCUAUCCAUCUUCUACAAAAAAAAAAGAGUUUUAUACAUUUAUGUUCUACAAAUCUGCUGGAUCUUUUGGAAGUGUGUGUUCAAUUUUUCUUUCUCCAGAGAGCAAGAUUUGAUGACAAAUCUUUUUGAAGAUGAGAAGUAUGAUCUGAUCUUGGGCUGAUUUAUAAAGUUCAGGACAUGGAAAAUAUUUAGAAAUCAACCCAUGAUGUUAGGUAACAUGUCCAACCCAUUUUAUGGAGUUACAAGCCCAAGAAAAAUCAAAAUCAAGUGGUUUCUUUGCUGUCCAAGAAAAGUGACGAAAAUCAGAAACUAAAUUGCAUGGAAAGGUACUGUCUCCUGCAUGCAAGGAUUGCUUCUUCCAAGAACCUUCUCUCUCCUCCAUGCACUGUUUUGUGAUUUCCUAUGUAUUAAUUAUCUUGCUUUCUCAACAAGUUAAGUUUCCUAUAAAUAAGUUGUAAUCUCUAAUGGAAUAAAAUAAGCUUUUGAGUGAUUAUUUUUGGAACUUUGGGAGUGAUUCUCAUUUUUCUUUCAAUAGUGUGUAAUAUCCAUUGAUCUUUUCGAUCCGUCUUGGUGCGUCAUAUCCAGGGAAUCAUCCUCAUUGUCGUAUAGGUGCGUCAUAUCCUAGGGCAUUGAGUUGGAAUAUUGAAGGCCUUUUGCAUCUUUCGUGCGAUUAUUCACACCGCAUCCCUUGUCUUUGAAGCUUUACGGAUUCAUAUCAGCAAGGCUUAUCCCUUUUACCAACUUAGAGUGCGACUCCUCGGGAAGUUUUCAUCAUUUGGUAUUAGAGCAACACUCUGAGUUUGGUAUUCACUUCUAUAUCAAUCAUUCUCAUUUAUCCAUCUUCUACAAAAAAAAGAGUUUUAUACAUUUAUGUUCUACAAAUCUGUUGGAUCUUUUGGAAGUGUGUGUUCAGGUUUUCUUUCUCCAUAGAGCAAAAUUUGAGGACAAAUGUUUUUGAAGAGGAGGAGUAUGACGUGAUCUUGGGCUGAUUUAUGAAGUUAUGGACAAGGAAAAUAUUUAGAAUUCAACCCAUGAUGUUAGGUAACAUGUCCAGCCCAUUUUAUGGAGUUACAAACCCAUGAAAAAUCAAAAUCAAGUGGUUUCUUUGCUGUCCAAGAAAAGUGACAAAAGUCAGAAACUAAAUUGUAUGGAAGGCUUCUAUCUCCUGCAUGCAAGGAUUGCUUCUUCCAAGAACCUUCUCUCUCCUCCAUGCACUGUUUUGUGAUUUCCUAUGUAUUAAUUAUCUAGCUUUCUCAACAAGUUUAAUUUCCUC